UGCGUUUAACAACUGAAAUAAAUUAUUCAACUGACAUACAACUUCAUGUGUCCAUGCACGAUGGCUUGCAACUUUAAACAGUUUAAAAUUCAUCUGGAUAUAAAAAAUCUGUUUGGAUACUUAGUAAACAACUCUAAUGCUGACUGAAUAGCAUUAAUAAAAAUGUCAUUGCCAAUAUAUGACAGAUUCGCCAUCAUCAGCGAAAAGAGUUGGAUGGAUAUCAUCAAAAUCAGUAUGUUUAAUAGCCUUGCCCUAAACUUUGUGUAGGUAAGAUCUAACCCCCCUUUGUUUAAAACAGUCUGAAACUGAAAUCUUGUCAAUGAUUUCCCAUUUAUAUGGCAAAAAUGAGGACCAUCAUUUCCAGGUCUUAUUUGCAAAAAGGCUUUCAAACUUUGUAGAGGACAAAUCUCAUUUGAUUCAUUUUUAUUUAUUUUUUACAACUAAAGUAGUGGAUCUCCCUUUUUGAUCAGUUUUUGAAAAAAAAA
rnacentral:lncRNA from 1 species